ensembl:lncRNA
GUGACAGAUAUAGGGGAGUCCAGGGGAGUCUCAUCACGCGCAGGUGUGAACCAACGGGAGUGACAGAUAUAGGGGAGUCCAGGGGAGUCUCAUCACGCGCAGGUGUGAACUAAUGGGAGUGACAGAUAUAGGGGAGUCCAGGGAGUCUCAUCACGCGCAGGUGUGAACUAAUGGGAGUGACAGAUAUAGGGGAGUCCAGGGAGUCUCAUCACGCGCAGGUGUGAACCAAUGGGAGUGACAGAUAUAGGGGAGUCCAGGGGAGUCUCAUCACGCGCAGGUGUGAACCAACGGGAGUGACAGAUAUAGGGGAGUCCAGGGGAGUCUCAUGAUGCGCAGGUGUGAACUAAUGGGAGUGACAGAUAUAGGGGAGUCCAGGGGAGUCUCAUGAUGCGCAGGUGUGAACCAACGGGAGUGACAGAUAUAGGGGAGUCCAGGGGAGUCUGGACGGCGGCAGGUGUGUGUAACGAUGGCGGCAGGUGUGUGUAACGAUGGUGACAGGUGUGUGUAACGAUGGUGACAGGUGUGCGUAACGAUGGUGACAGGUGUGCGUAACGAUGGUGACAGGUGUGUGUAACGAUGGUGACAGGUGUGUGUAACGAUGGUGACAGGUGUGUGUAACGAUGGUGACAG